rnacentral:rRNA from 1 species
UUGACCUCGGAUCAGGUAGGAAUACCCGCUGAACUUAAGCAUAUCAAUAAGCGGAGGAAAAGAAACCAACAGGGAUUGCCCUAGUAACGGCGAGUGAAGCGGCAACAGCUCAAAUUUGAAAUCUGGCCCUCGUGGUCCGAGUUGUAAUUUGUAGAGGAUGCUUUUGGUUAGGUGCCUUCCGAGUUCCCUGGAACGGGACGCCAUAGAGGGUGAGAGCCCCGUCUGGUUGGAUACCGAGCCUCUGUAAAGCUCCUUCGACGAGUCGAGUAGUUUGGGAAUGCUGCUCUAAAUGGGAGGUAUAUGUCUUCUAAAGCUAAAUAUUGGCCAGAGACCGAUAGCGCACAAGUAGAGUGAUCGAAAGAUGAAAAGCACUUUGAAAAGAGGGUUAAAAAGUACGUGAAAUUGUUGAAAGGGAAGCGCUUGUGACCAGACUUGGGCCCGGUCAAUCAUCCAGGGUUCUCCCUGGUGCACUUGGCCGGCCCAGGCCAGCAUCAGUUUGUCGCGGGGGAUAAAGACGUUGGGAAUGUGGCUCCUCCGGGAGUGUUAUAGCCCUUCGUGUAAUACCCUGCUUCGGACUGAGGUUC